rnacentral:rRNA from 1 species
AGCGAACGCUGGCGGCAGGCUUAACACAUGCAAGUCGAACGGUCCUUCGGGAUAGUGGCGGACGGGUGAGUAACACGUGGGAACGUACCCUUAGGUUCGGAACAACACAGGGAAACUUGUGCUAAUACCGGAUAAGCCCUUCGGGGGAAAGAUUUAUCGCCUUUGGAGCGGCCCGCGUCUGAUUAGCUUGUUGGGGAGGUAAUGGCUCACCAAGGCUACGAUCAGUAGAUGGUCUGAGAGGAUGGCCAGCCACUCUGGGACUGAGACACGGCCCAGACUCCUACGGGAGGCAGCAGUAGGGAAUCUUGCGCAAUGGGCGGAAGCCUGACGCAGCCAUGCCGCGUGGAUGAUGAAGGUCUUAGGAUUGUAAAAUCCUUUCACCGGGGACGAUAAUGACGGUACCCUGAGAAGAAGCCCCGGCUAACUUCGUGCCAGCAGCCGCGGUAA